UCCGUUUGAGCUGCUCUUGAGCUCGUUGGACUAUUCAUCGUCUUGGACCUCAUUCUGAGUUAUUGUGGAUUGAAUCUCGAAAUAUUUUUCUCAACAAUCUCCACCUCGAUUUGAUAUUCGAUCUCCUCCUAACUCUAAGAGCUUUUGGAUCUUCUCGCUCUCAUGUCCUAGGACAAAUGCCUGCUGAUUAUGGAUGAGCAAAUAUGGGAGUCGAGCCAGACUGCUCGAUCCCAUCUCCAUCGUAUGCUGUGCUUCUCCUGAUCAGAGACCUGCUUGGGGUAGUCUCCUAUGGUAAUAGGAAUCUCACCUUGUGAUAUCGCCUCUCAUCCUUUCGAGUCUUGCAUCUCAUAUCCGAUUCACUUCUACCUGGAGCUCCAUCUCGCUCUGGACUCUCUUUAGCUCCUGAAGCUCCAUCUCAUACUAGACUUUUCGUCAGGUAAUAAUAUUCUCUCAUCCUCUUCUUUUCCUCCAAUAUCACCCUAUCGCCAUACAAAAUCUUCAAAAUUCUUCCAUCAGCUCUCCACCUGUAGUCGGUCGAAUCCAAUCUGCUCAGUGAGAUAAGAUUUCAUCUGAAAUUAGAUAUAUAUCAGAUCUCUCCCAAUCUCUUCACUGUACCAUCAUGUGUUCUCCAACUGACUAUCCCGAUACCUCUGAUCAUAUAGCUUGAUCCAUCUGAUAGAUGAAUAGUACCCUCACUACUCUCCAGAGAGUCAAAUAGCUUCAUUCUGCAACAUACAUGAUAGGUGCAUGCAGAAUCUAAAAUUCACUAUUGAAAAAAAGUAGAUACCUCAUCAGAUAUCAUCAGGAUAUCAUUUUUUGACUCGCUACUAGCUGUCGCUAUAGUAGCCCUCAUUCGAUCUCUUCGUUGUAGACAAUCUCUGACUAGAUGUCCCAACUCAUCGCAUCAAUAAUAUCUAAUUUGCUCAAAUCUCUCAUCCUAGACUUAAACUGCCCUCAUCGCAAUCUUCUGUCGCUUCAUUUGCCGCCACCUGCUCCUCCAAAAAUCAUCAAAACUAAGCUGCCACUGUCUGAACUUGAAGCUAGAUUCUCCCUUCUGAGAACCUUAUUCUGAAAAAUUAUCGCGAUGACCUCAUCUAUCUUGAUGGUGCUCUUUUUCAUUAGAAAAACAAUCAUCAAGAACUCAUACGAAGAAGGAAGCGAUGCGAGCAAGACCAAUGCCCUGGUCUUCUCCUUAACUUUUUCAUCAAUGUUGAGGAGGUCGAUAAAGAUCUUCUGAAAGUGACUGAAAUGCUCCUACAUGCUCUAUCUCUCAAUCAUCCGCAUUUGAUUGAAUUAUCUCUAGAGGAAGAGAAUGUUGGUGACGGACUUCAUCAUGUACAACUCCUCAAGCUUUGACCACAUCGCCAUCGGAGAAGUUUUGCCAAGUAUAUGGAUCACUACGUCAUCCGUUAGGUACAAAUAGAUCGUAUUCACUGCUUGCAUCUGGAGCUGCCUCCAAUCCUGCACCUCCAUGAUAGUCAGCUUCUUCUUAUACAAGAGAACAUUGAUCAACCCUUACUGGAUGAGCAUGUUCUUCACCCUCGCUGGUCACAAAAAAAAAAUACUCUUUUCAUCAAACCUGUUGAUCUCCAACUUAAUUGAGCAUGUCUUCUUCAUCUUCAAUCUUAAUCACCACCAUCGCAAUCUGCACCCUGGAACCACCUAGCUCUGAUAGUACUUGUUAUACAAGAUCCGGUAUCACGUAUUGUAGCAGAAAGAAAGAAGAAAUAAAAUAAAAAACACAAUCAAAUACAUAGAUCAGCCAAAAGGCUCGCCUCCAUGAAAUAUGCAAGCUUCACUAUGAAAAAAAAAAUUUACAAUAGGAGAUCACACCCUCAACCCUCAUACACUAAUCUCUCUCUCUCAACAAGAAGCUCUCCCUCACAAAAGCUUUCUUUCUAGGAGAUCCUCUAAACCCUGGAAUGAUCAUUGUCCGUUGCCUGACAAUCUGUCUGAAGCCCUUGCUUCUACCCUCUGUCGGUGCCUCUCCAAGGCCUGCUGCCUGCUGUCGGAUUCUGCUCUCGGUUGCUGUUCCUGUGGGUUCUCUGUCAAUCUCACCACUACUACCACAAUCCGCUCCUCUACUGUCACAGCACCUUUUAAAGGCCUUAAUCUAGAUUUGUAUCUGAAAUAAGGUUGAAUCAGAACUCUAACAAGACCUCUGUCAUUUGAUCAAGUACCUAGACCACGUUGAUCAAGCCCGCUUGCGCCGUCAGCCGUCGGAUCGUGCAAUUACCUCAAGAAAUGCCUAGAAAUGACCUUCAGUCCAUGGUGGACCGCGAGAAUCGCCUGGGAAAUAUUCUCGUAGUCCAUGCCUCCUCUUGUGGAUCGGUGGUCCAUGAUGGACCGCGUGAAGACAUAGGCCACGCCCCGUGCGCGCCUACUGAGCCUCGCCUGCGGCCGGCCCGCACGUGCUCAUGCGCCUGCUCCGUCGUCGGGCCAGGCCCGCUCCACCAUCGGCCUGCACUGCCUGUGGGCCCUCUCUGAUAGCCCAUGGGUUGUACCUUCUAUUUCGGCCUUCUCUUGCACGUAUCUCUUUCGUCUGGACUAUUUUUGGGCUCGUUGGACUCCGUUCGUCGUCCUGGACCUUGUUCUGGACUUAUUGUAGACAGAAUCUCGAGACACUUUUUUCAACAAUCCUAGCAUUUCAAAAAAAUGAAACCUUUAUUACCAUAAAAUAGGAAAAAAAUAAAAUAAAAAAUUAUAUUUUGAGCAAAUGAGUGCCAAAUUUGCUUGUUUGGAAAAAAUUAUACACUAAAAGAUGAACCCAUGUGUUAAAAAUGGACAGCAGUAAGUCAGACAACCUUAGGACCACCCCAACCUGGUAGUGCAAGGAUGGAAACAAUCCUAUAAGGUGAAUUCUUCACCAUUAAUCAUGCUUUAGUCCUGAGGUUAUAUGUCAUCCAUUAGAUCGAGUUGCCCAUCUCCUUUGCUAUUGAGGAUAUGGUUGUAUGAGCUUUUUUUUUUUGGAUAUGAUGGAUCAUUCAAACCCUUCUAGUGUGAAUUAUCUAAUGUAGUCAGAAAGCAAAAUAUCCUUAAUGGGGUUAGGGGUCUCUCACAUAUCAAUCUGGAAAUACGAUCCUGAGUGUUCCGUGAUAAAAGCAGCUAUCCAGUUAGCUAUCGUGUUUGCCUCUUGAAAGACAUGCCGGUUGAUGAGAUUAGCAUAGCCUGAAGGUAUAGCCACGAUAUCCUACAGAAGAGGGUAAUUGGCAUCCCCCCACAUAUACCUUUAAAGCCAAGUCACAACAGUAACCCAUUCAACUUCAAUGAACAGAUAAUUGGUCUGAAGGAUCCGAUGUGUAUAAGUGAUCCCGACCCAUGUAGCCUGAAGCUUUGUAGUAGGAAUAGAUGGAUUAAAGAGAUGACUGCCUCCUGUCGCUACUAGUCUGGAGGCAUAUCACAAAUCACAAAAUCAGCUCCUCCACUCUUAUCUCUAACACUGCUGUCAAAGUUUACCUUAAGGAACCUCGGAGGAGGGGGCUCCUAGAUGAUGGAUACCCCACGAGCCACUACAAGAGCAAGUCAAGGAGUCCCAGGUCUCUGAGGCUCUCGAGGUUGCCUCAAUCACUUCACCAGUCGAGGUCAGGGCUCUCUUUAGAAUAAAUCCUACCGGACACCUCCUAAUCUCAAAUAUCAGGUUAUCCCUGGAUGAUUAAAUCUGCUCGGCAAUAUAAGAUGCUUGGAUGCCAAUUGGCCUCCAUGCCCUCGUGUCGGCACUCUGCUUCAGCAGCUCUAUGAACUCCUGGGCUGAAGUCCCCUCCCGAAAAGAGAAGUUAUACCGACUUGUCAAGUAUCACAUAGAUGCUGCACCUGGGCACAGAAAAAGAACAUGCUCGGUGAUUUCUUCCUCCCUAUUAUAGACUGAAUAUCCAUACCUCUCACCUUCAGGAUAGAUCUGAUUAGAAGCCAUCCCCAAGCAACUUUCCAUAGGAAAAGACUAAUCCAUGAGUACACACUGAUCCUCAAGAUUUACCCAAUAUCUAGUCACCUAUAUGGCUUCCUCUAGAAUUGAUGAUAAAGGCCCGCCAUAACCACCCUCGGCAAACAUGAAGACCUCCAAGCUCUGACAUCUUGAGUGCUGUGGGCUGGAAUUACUAAGGAUUGCACACGCUCUACCAAGAUCUCCCCAAACAGCUGGAUCACAGCCUCCGAAUCCCAACCCCGACAAUCUUGGACAAGCAGGUCGCACAUUCUUAUGGAGUCCCCAACCUCCAUAGUAAUAAAGGUCGGUCUGUAGCUUAAUGGCACAUCAACCACCCAUAGAUCUUAUAACGUUCACAGAUUGACCAUCUCUUAUAAGCCAUCAAGCAUGUGAACUGACCUUGGGGGCC
rnacentral:lncRNA from 1 species